UCAAACUUGGUCAUUUAGAGGAAGUAAAAGUCGUAACAAGGUUUCCGUAGGUGAACCUGCGGAAGGAUCAUUACAGAGUACUGGGGCCUCCAGCCUCUACUCCCACCCUUUGUGAACCUUUUUAUAACUGUUGCCUUGGGCGGGCCGGGCACCUUGUGUGCCUGCUGGCGUCACCCGCUGGAGAGCGCCCGCCAGAGGACUGGUCUUUGAAACUCUUUUUUAAGAACAUGGAGUUGUCUGAGUUUUAAGAUUGAAAAUGGAGUGAAAACUUUCAACAACGGAUCUCUUGGUUCUGGCAUCGAUGAAGAACGCAGC
rnacentral:misc_RNA from 1 species